rnacentral:misc_RNA from 1 species
GCCGUAAAUGACCUUGAGAGCAUAAACACCGCCGGUGGGACGGUGAACCACUUUAUAGACGGUGCCUCCGCAUCCACUUCCGAUUCGGCUCACUCGCUCAAAAUCCGAAAGGCUAAAAGCCUGACGCUUCUGAGGAUGAGGGUCCGGCGGGCGGUUGGCGUUGUGGAGUUGACUGGUGGAAGGAGGAUGCGCAGAGUUGGAGGAGGUGGGAGGCAAAGGGAGAGGAACAGCCAAAGACGUAUUGUCCCUCUGCGGAAGCUGAAG